GCGCCUGGCGCGGCCCCGGCGCAGAGCAGCGCAGCGCGGCCGCCCGCCCUCGGUUCGGAGGAGGAGGAGGCGGUGGCGGCGGGUGAUGCAGGGCCUCAUGCGGCGGCGGCGGGAGCGCUUCCGCUCCGCAGUGGGAGAGGCCCGCAGGUGGGGGUGGCCGCUCUCCCGCCUUCUCGUCCCGGCCUCAACCCGCGCCUGAGGGGGAGCCGAGGGGGGGGGAGCGCGCGCGCCGCCUGAGGGGAGCUGCCCGCCGCCCGCGCUGUCGCGAUAGGCGUCUCGGCGCAGGGGCGUUAGCGCCGAGCUGCCCCGGCGCAUGUCGUGACAGGAGUCGUCAGCCUGCUUGCGCGAGCUCUGCCCGCCGUUCUGUCGUGACAGGAGCUUCAGCCGGAGGGAGGCUCCUGAGCAGCUACAACUGAUGUUGGUGUGAUGUUGAUGUCUGAGCAAUGAUGCUGUGUGUCUUCUGUCGUGUGACAUAAAACUGCAGGUGUCAGACAAGAGGACUGGAAGAUAAAACUGGGUCUGAUUCAGCUGCUGUAUCAAAGAAAAAAUCCCUUAUUAUGAAACUCCAGUAUCCAUGACUCUCCACAGAGAAUAUAAUACUGUAAGCAUUGCUGAACCUGCUGUGAAGAGUUCAUCUGAUUCUAAUGGAACUGCACAGUAACAAGCUGUACAUCUUUUCACAGGAUCAGUUAAGAGUUGCUUCUCUUAAGCUGUCUGCAACUGCUUUACAUGACAACGCCAUAAAAUCAGGGAACUGGAUGUUCUACAGUUAGAACUUGAGCCAUCAGUCACAGAGGAAGAAUACAGAGCUAAAUCCAGCAGACCUUAUUUUGGCAAAACUCCCACUGAAGUCAGUGAGGGUUUGUGAAAGUAAGGACGGCAUGAUUUGUCUCACAGUUCCUGCUGAUUAUUUGGAAUAUGCUUGCUCCCCCCUCAAACACCCCAGCUCCUCACCGCAUUUGACCUCACCACGGCGCAGUGUCUUACAGCUGUUUUUUGUCUGUAAACUGGAAUCAUGAAAAUCAGUGUAACGCAAUUGUGAAAAAUACCCUUUUCACCCAAUGACCUUGGAAGAAAACAGAGUGCCUUGGGAGUUUGGAGGCUGCUACUGUAGAUCUAACACAACAGAAACCGAGACACUGAGAAUUUGGACAAUCCAUUUUAAAUUCAUGCUGAGAAUUUAAGGAACUCUUUAAACAAGCUGGAAAUAGGUCAAAUUCUGAUUGUUAAAAAACAACUAACCAACUGGGUGUUGCCCAGACAGGUGGUACCUUGUGAUAAAAUUGUUGAUUCGUGUAAUACUUCCUCACUGGAACACUGGCACGUCCACGAAAAUUUCAAUUCUGUUUCCAUUACAAAUUGCAAUAGAGAAAGGCAGCGGAAGAGUUAACAGCGUUCCUUCAGCAGGAAACUCACUGCUACAAAUGAUAACCCAGGGCACACGUUCAGAUGCAGUUCUUUAUUUUUUUCACUUCAGUCUGAGCAAAUACAGGGCCAAUGAAAGAAACCAGAGCUGCGAGCAUCAGUGCUCUCCUCAUCCACAGACAAGAUGACAGAGUAACGGCUUCCCACACCCCACUGUGUCAAUGUGUCAUGACCCUUCUCCCGAGGGGACACCUUUCGGGUGACAGCACUUCGGCCUCUGUGGUCUUACACUCAUACAUCUGUCUGCCUUCAUGUGGAAGCUGGCUCCGGGCUCACCAAGCACUGCCGGGGCGGUGAUUUAGGAAUUAGACUGAUACUGCCAGAUCACCCUGCACAGAUCUCUUGCUGAGGACGCCACCAGGUAGUUAACAGUGAGCUUCCCGUCACGGUUCAUCUAGGCCAGACGUGAAUAGUGAUCGAAGAAGCAACUCUGCUUUGUUUCCAGUUCCUGAACCAGCAAGUCACUCGAGAGCAGAUUUUGUACCACUUAUUGGGUACUAUACUAUCCCUGCUCAUUAAUGGGAACAUCCUCCACUCGAGGGCAUCUUCUAGGCACUGAACUGUUGCUCAACACUUCUGCUGUGUUGUGUUUUGUAACAGUAAGCAACAUCAUACUGUAGGAAAGUCUUACCAAGAAAACUCUGGAAAUCAGUAUAUGUGAACAUAAUAAAUACAACAGCAGGGUCUAACUUUUAUGAUUGCGGAUACCUAUAUGCAUGUGACAUUAGUAGUACUAUCCAUGUGAGUAAAGAUAUACAAAUAAGGAAUCCUAGAUUUGAGUUACUUAAGGAACUCUAAAAACAUUUAUUUUAUUUAUUAUAGUUCAAAUGGAAGCAAAACGGUACCAGUAAUAUCAAAAUAAUCUGAUAUCCAGAUGGUACAAUGGCUGGUCAUAUACUUUGGUAGAUGUACUGUUUCCUCCUAUCUAUUUCUGAUGCCUGCAAUUAUCUCAUCUCAACAUGACUAAAUAAAUGCAAAGCUGCAGAAUCCUA